rnacentral:rRNA from 1 species
AGAGUUUGAUCCUGGCCCAGGAUAAACGCUGGCGGCGCACAUAAGACAUGCAAGUCGAACGGACUUAACCAUUAGUUUACUAUUGGAGCGGUUAGUGGCGGACUGGUGAGUAACACGUAAGCAACCUGCCUAUCAGAGGGGAACAACAGUUAGAAAUGACUGCUAAUACCGCAUAUGCCAAGAGUAUCGCAUGAUACAACUGGGAAAGGGGAAAUCCGCUGAUAGAUGGGCUUGCGUCUGAUUAGAUAGUUGGUGUGGUAACGGCAUACCAAGUCGACGAUCAGUAGCCGGACUGAGAGGUUGAACGGCCACAUUGGGACUGAGAUACGGCCCAGACUCCUACGGGAGGCAGCAGUCGGGAAUAUUGCGCAAUGGAGGAAACUCUGACGCAGUGACGCCGCGUGCAGGAAGAAGGUUUUCGGAUUGUAAACUGCUUUAGACAGGGAAGAAAAAAGACAGUACCUGUAGAAUAAGCUCCGGCUAACUACGUGCCAGCAGCCGCGGUAAUACGUAGGGAGCAAGCGUUAUCCGGAUUUAUUGGGUGUAAAGGGAGCGCAGGCGGUUCCUUAAGUCUGAUGUGAAAGCCCACGGCUCAACCGUGGAAGGUCAUUGGAAACUGGGGAACUUGAAUGCAGAAGAGGAGAGUGGAAUUCCAUGUGUAGCGGUGAAAUGCGUAGAUAUAUGGAGGAACACCAGUGGCGAAGGCGACUCUCUGGUCUGUAAUUGACGCUGAGGCUCGAAAGCGUGGGGAGCAAACAGGAUUAGAUACCCUGGUAGUCCACGCCGUAAACGAUGAGUGCUAAGUGUUGGAGGGUUUCCACCCUUCAGUGCUGCAGUUAACGCAUUAAGCACUCCGCCUGGGGAGUACGGCCGCAAGGCUGAAACUCAAAGGAAUUGACGG